CCUACGGGAGGCAGCAGUGGGGAAUAUUGCACAAUGGGCGCAAGCCUGAUGCAGCCAUGCCGCGUGUGUGAAGAAGGCCUUCGGGUUGUAAAGCACUUUCAGCGGGGAGGAAGGCGGUGAGGUUAAUAACCUCAUCGAUUGACGUUACCCGCAGAAGCAGCACCGGCUAACUCCGUGCCAGCAGCCGCGGUAAUACGGAGGGUGCAAGCGUUAAUCGGAAUUACUGGGCGUAAAGCGCACGCAGGCGGUCUGUCAAGUCGGAUGUGAAAUCCCCGGGCUCAACCUGGGAACUGCAUUCGAAACUGGCAGGCUAGAGUCUUGUAGAGGGGGGUGGAAUUCCAGGUGUAGCGGUGAAAUGCGUAGAGAUCUGGAGGAAUACCGGUGGCGAAGGCGGCCCCCUGGACAAAGACUGACGCUCAGGUGCGAAAGCGUGGGGAGCAAACAGGAUUAGAUACCCUAGUAGUC
rnacentral:rRNA from 1 species